rnacentral:tRNA from 1 species
GGAGGGCUAGUCCUAACUGGUAAGGCAUCGGCCUUGAAAGCCGACGGGUGCAAGCCCUUGGGGGUUCGAGUCCCUCGCCCUCCG